CUUUCUCCAAGGAAUCGAAAACUGCAGAUAUGUCUUCAAGCAAGAUGGUAGAGUGCAGGAUAUGCCAUGAUGAAGAUUUGGAUUCAAGUAUGGAGACUCCUUGCUCUUGCCGUGGUACCUUGAAGUACGCACAUAGGGUAUGUGUGCAAAGGUGGUGCAAUGAGAAAGGUGACACUGUGUGUGAGAUUUGCCACCAGCCUUUCAAGCCUGAUUAUACAACACCUCCCCGUGUUCAUCGCUAUGGGAGCUUAAGG